rnacentral:rRNA from 1 species
AGUGAACGCUGGCGGUAGGCCUAACACAUGCAAGUCGAACGGCAGCACAGGAGAGCUUGCUCUCUGGGUGGCGAGUGGCGGACGGGUGAGGAAUACAUCGGAAUCUACUUUUUCGUGGGGGAUAACGUAGGGAAACUUACGCUAAUACCGCAUACGACCUACGGGUGAAAGCAGGGGAUCUUCGGACCUUGCGCGAUUGAAUGAGCCGAUGUCGGAUUAGCUAGUUGGCGGGGUAAAGGCCCACCAAGGCGACGAUCCGUAGCUGGUCUGAGAGGAUGAUCAGCCACACUGGAACUGAGACACGGUCCAGACUCAUACGGGAGGCAGCAGUGGGGAAUAUUGGACAAUGGGCGCAAGCCUGAUCCAGCCAUACCGCGUGGGUGAAGAAGGCCUUCGGGUUGUAAAGCCCUUUUGUUGGGAAAGAAAUCCAUCUGGUUAAUACCCGGGUGGGAUGACGGUACCCAAAGAAUAAGCACCGGCUAACUUCGUGCCAGCAGCCGCCGUAA